AUUGAACGCUGGCGGCAGGCCUAACACAUGCAAGUCGAGCGGUAACAGGUCCAGCUUGCUGGAUGCUGACGAGCGGCGGACGGGUGAGUAACGCGUGGGAACGUGCCCAUCAGUGGGGGA
rnacentral:rRNA from 1 species